UGCACACACAAGGAGUCAGAAGUACACACACAUAUACAAGCACACAAACAUGAACACAAACAGGCACAUGGAUUUGCAGAAUACAUACAUACCUACAAACGUGCUCACAAGCAUACAUAUAUAUAUAUGCAUACACACAUACAUGCAUACACACAUAGAUGCAUACACACACUGUCAUACAUACAUACACACACAUACAUGCAUACAUACAAACAUAUGUGUAUGCACAUGCACACUGACGCACAUGCAUGCACACAAACAAACAAAAAAAGAACGUAAUUCCGAUAACGGACACAGUCAACGAUUACUGAAAAGGUAGCAAGACGCAACGAAAAUUUCAGCAAAAGUAAGUAAAUGAGUAAAAAUCGAACCGGUGAGUGCGUUAAAUUGAUAAGGUACUAAAAGAGAAUGACUCCCCCCAGACAAUAAUAUAUAUGUGUGUGUGUGUAAUAUAUGUAUGUGUGUUUGUGUGAGUGUAUGUGUGUGUGUGUGUGAGAGAGUUUGUUAGUGCGUGUAUCUUCAGAGUAUAAUGUAACUAGAUUGGUUUAGUAUGUCUCAGGGUCAUUACUAUUUUUCUACUAAAGUUAAGAUUUUUCAUUAAACAUACAAAUCGAGAAAAACUAACCAAAUCUAAGCAUAGAAGCGUACCUGCGUGUUAUCAUCAUCAUCAUCAUCAUCAUCAUCAUCAUCAUCAUCAUCAUCAUCAUUAUUAUUAUUAUCAUUAUCAUUAUUAUUAUUAUUAUUAUUCAGUAGUUUUAUUUUUAUAACGUGCUUUCACUUCACUACCGAGCGCAGCUCUGUGCGCCUUGGGUAUGUGCUGUGGUUUGCUGUGGUGCUCUUAUGUUUACUGUAUUGAAAGUGUUUUGCGUAGGAUGUGUGCAGUACCAAGUAGUGCAAUUUUCUGUAUGUUAUAUAUAUUUGUAAGUCCUGCUAUUUUUGUUAUGUAUUUGUCUGAAUAUUUUUUUAUUAUACCUAAGGCACCUACUAUGAUAGGAAUUGUUUCUGUUUUUAGAUUCCACAUUCGAGUUAUCUCUAUUUCCAGGUCUUUGUAUUUUGAAAGUUUUUCCAUUUCUUUCAGAGAAACGUUGUCAUCUGCUGGUAUUGAUACAUCAAUUAGAAAGCAUUUUUUUUCUUCAUGAUCUUUGACAACUAUAUCUGGUCUAUUUGCCAUUAUUAUUAUUAUUAUUAUUAUUAUUAUUAUUAUUAUUAUUAUUAUUAUUAUUAUUAUUAUUAUUUAUAUUGCUAUCAUUACCUCUGCUAUUUUAUUUCGACAGUGCGAUUUCGAAGAAUAUGAUACAAAUAAAGAUGGCCAAGUUACCAAACCAGAGUUCGUUCGAGCGAUGUAUAAGCGAUAUCUUCAAGAUCCGGAUGAUAUUGCGUUAGCUUUUAAGACGUUUGACACUGACGGUUCUGGUUGUCUCAGCGAAGAGGAACUAAAGGCGGCAAUGAAAAAGAUGUAUAUGGAUUACCAUGAUGAAAAGUAUAAAGACAUCAUUGCUCGUUUAACAAAAUGUGGUAAAAUUGAUUACAAAGAAUUUGCGCAGGCUGCUAUGAAAUUGUAAAGGCUACUUAUUUUGAGAGAUAAAAUAAAAGCGAUGUAAACAAUUACUGCUGUUUAA